AGCGUUUUUCGCGGCGGCGGAGGUCGACCGCCGCAUUCGGUGGUCGUCGAGUACAUCGACGCUCACCGCCACCGGUUCGGGGUCGACCCGAUCUGCACCG
rnacentral:ncRNA from 1 species